AGUAGUUCGGGAGCAGCAAAUCCUUCAAACACAUGAGUAACAGAUACUUGUUUUAUUUAAGAGUCCUUAAGCAUGAGCAAGUCAUUAAGUACUUCCUUUCUCCCCAUGAAUCAGUUCUAUUUUAAACAGUCAUCAUGCAUUUAAUAUUUUUUUAAAGUAUCAGAAGUUCUGAUUUUGAAACUUUUCUGGAGUCUCUUGUGUACCUCUGUGAACUUGUAUUAAAAACAAAUCUGUCAAGGGCUGCACAUUCCCUGUACUGAUGCAUUCCCUUUCCCUAUCUCCUCCAAGAGUGGAUGUGUUCUGUGUGCAGCAUUUCUUUGCCCAAGGAGACAAUUGGGAAGUGAAGAAGUUAUUGCUCUGAAAGCAGAGCACAUCUCUCCAUUACCUGGGCAAUGGCUAUGUAAUGCCACCUCAAAAUGCCACCACCUGAGUGGCCUCAGGAGCUCAGCAGCACCCCCCAGCAAUGUCCCCCUGGGGGCUGGGAGUUCCUGGGGGCAGAGUUUGCUGUGCCAGGGGGUCCCUGCAGCCUCCUGGGCAAAGCUGCCCUGUUCAUGGUGUGUGUGGGAUUCCACUGAGGGGGUCCCAUGGUUUAAUGGAAUGUUUUGCUCGUGGAUAUUGACCCUGUGAUGUUGUCAUGCUUCUCUGAUUCAGUCCAUUUGGAAGGAAUCUGUUUCCCCUCUCUUUACUGUAUCAUGCAAAAAGGAUAACAAACAUAAAUAUUUAUAGUUAGGUAUUUUUGCAGGGGUUUGUGUCCAAGAUACAACAUGCUGAGACAUUAAACAGCACAAGUGUUGCCAGAAUCCUACCAGCCUGGCAAAUCUGACAGCCAGCUGAAGGCCAGGAUGAGCUUUUAUGAUAAAAUCAGGCUGUGUACUGAAUGCUAAACCAUCAUCAGUUGUUACAGAUCAGGAAGAAUUCACUUGCAAUCAUCAUGAAUAGGAAAAACCUUGCCCAAAUGAAGCUUUGUUUCCUUGUGGAUUUGCUUCCAUUUUUGCCUCCUUACACAGUCAGCAAUCAUAAUUCAGAUAGAGAGGUUUGAAACAGCCUUCCUGUUCCUGAUCUUCUGAGGAGGUGCCCCUGUACCCCUGGCUGUCACUCAGCCUGACAGGCCAGGAGCUGCUCCAGCCCUGGCAGCCACUUGGGAUGUCUGCAGGAAUGGUCUGUGAGGUGUGUGCAGGAAUGGUCUGUGAGGUGUGUGCAGGAAUGGUCUGUGAGGUGUGUGCAGGAAUGGUCUGUGAGGUGUGUGCAGGAAUGGUCUGUGAGGUGUGUGCAGGAAUGGUCUGUGAGGUGUGUGCAGGAAUGGUCUGUCAGGUGUGUGCAGGAAUGGUCUGUGAGGUGUGCAGGAAUGGUCUGUGAGGUGUGUGCAGGAAUGGUCUGUGAGGUGUGUGCUGGAAUGG